rnacentral:rRNA from 1 species
GACGAACGCUGGCGGCGUGCUUAACACAUGCAAGUCGAACGGAAAGGCCCUGCUUUUGUGGGGUGCUCGAGUGGCGAACGGGUGAGUAACACGUGAGUAACCUGCCCUUGACUUUGGGAUAACUUCAGGAAACUGGGGCUAAUACCGGAUAGGAGCUCCUGCUGCAUGGUGGGGGUUGGAAAGUUUCGGCGGUUGGGGAUGGACUCGCGGCUUAUCAGCUUGUUGGUGGGGUAGUGGCUUACCAAGGCUUUGACGGGUAGCCGGCCUGAGAGGGUGACCGGCCACAUUGGGCCUGGGAUGCGGCCCAGACACCUACGGGAGGCAGCAGUGGGGAAUAUUGCACAAUGGGCGGAAGCCUAGUGCAGCAACGCCGCGUGCGGGAUAACGGCCUUCGGGUUGUAACCCGCUUUCGCCUGUGACGAAGCGUGAGUGACGGUAAUGGGUAAAGAAGCACCGGCUAACUACGUG